UAUCUGUCACUUUUUCUCUCUAUAAAUAAAUAUAUGUAAUAGACUUGUACUUUCAGCUGAAUUGCAGUUUGUCCACUUUUAGGCUGAUUGGCCAAAUUCCAUAUCAUAUUUUUGUCUAGUGAUCAAGGUCUGCUAGCUUUUUUAGGAUCAUCUUUUGUAUAACUGUUGUUUUGCCACCCUGGGGCAGAGAUUCAGGUUGGUAGCCCACUGCAAGUAUGGGUGUGGGAAUAGGAAUUUCUUGCACCUUGUGGUUCAUGUAUGACGAUUUGUAUAGGCCAGUUGUGACAUUAGCUUCCUGUUACCAAUGUUAAAAUGUUGUGUAACCUCCUGUGUUUUGGUGUUAGGGUCUAUUACUCAUCCAAUAGUAGCAGUCAAACAGGUCUAGGUUUUCACUUUGUGCCCAGGAAUAGUUUGUUCCAGUCGCCCACUAUUGUCAGAUUGCCCUGGUUCCACUGCAGAUUGCCAAGCAGAUUGCCCUGGUUCCCAGUUGUUGCACUUGUUGUGAGAUUGCCCUGGUUCCCUUGCAGAUUGCCAAGCAGAUUGCCCUGGUUUCCCAUUUGUUCCACUUGUUGUCAGAUUUCCCUGGUUCCCUCACAUCUGAUGCGGAUCUUGUUAAUCUGGCAACACCAGAGCCAGCAUGACUCUCUUGGUUCGUGUUACUCUCAUAUUAUUGAGGUGGGCAGCGUAUAUAUUGUUAGGUUUCAUGCCCAGGGAAACUUACUGGUGAGGUCUGACUGGGAUUCGAACCUGGGGUUUCCAGUUCUCUCUCUCUCUCUCUCUCUCU